CUGGCUCAGGAUGAACGCUGGCGGCGUGCUUAACACAUGCAAGUCGAACGGAGUUUUAACGGAAGUUUCGGAUGGAAGUUUAGAACUUAGUGGCGGACGGGUGAGUAACGCGUGGGUAACCUGCCUCAUACAGGGGGAUAACAGUUAGAAAUGACUGCUAACACCGCAUAAUAUAGCGAAACCGCAUGAUUUUGCUAUCAAAUAUUUAUAGGUAUGAGAUGGGCCCGCGUCUGAUUAGCUAGUUGGUGGGGUAAAAGCCUACCAAGGCGACGAUCAGUAGCCGGCUUGAGAGAGUGACCGGCCACAUUGGGACUGAGACACGGCCCAAACUCCUACGGGAGGCAGCAGUGGGGAAUAUUGGACAAUGGGGGAAACCCUGAUCCAGCGAACCGCCGCGUGAGUGAAGAAGUAUUUCGGUAUGUAAAGCUCUAUCAGCAGGGAAGAUAAUGACAGUACCUGACUAAGAAGCCCCGGCUAACUACGUGCCAGCAGCCGC
rnacentral:rRNA from 1 species